rnacentral:lncRNA from 1 species
AGGCGUAUAUGGUCAUUUAGUUGGCGAGCUGAGCUGUCAAGCGAGAUUUUAGGGAUGGCAAAUUUGAGCUAUAUCAAUACCCAUUGGAUUUGAAUUGACCAAGCAAUAUCCUCAUUAUUCGCUAAUGGGAGAAAUUGUAGAAGGCAAUUUUGUCUUUAGAAUGAAAAAGUAGAGCAAUAUUGUUCAAGUAGAUGAUAACUUGAGAAACAUUAAGCUGGCAUUUGUUAGGAGAACUACUCUGAAAAUAAAAGGUGGCACCCACAAAACUUUUGUUUGAGGUCACCCAUGUAGGCAUAUCAACAUUUUCCUAACGGCUUUUAACCAAACAUAAACUGUCUGAUUCCAUUUUGUAUUAGGAGGAGU